UACGAAGGGGGCUAGCGUUGCUCGGAAUUACUGGGCGUAAAGCGCACGUAGGCGGCUUUCUAAGUCGGGGGUGAAAGCCUUGGGCUCAACCCAAGAAUUGCCUUCGAUACUGGAUAUCUUGAGACCGGGAGAGGUGAGUGGAAUUCCGAGUGUAGAGGUGAAAUUCGUAGAUAUUCGGAAGAACACCAGUGGCGAAGGCGGCUCACUGGCCCGGUUCUGACGCUGAGGUGCGAAAGCGUGGGGAGCAAACAGG
rnacentral:rRNA from 1 species